rnacentral:lncRNA from 1 species
UGACGCUCAUGAGCUCUCCAGGCUCACUCUCAUUGGCUCACAACCUUGGCGAAAAGAGAGCAAAGUCUAGCAACUGAGUCUCACUGGAAUGAUUUGGUUCAUAUUCCCAUUGCUGAUCCCAUCAUGGUGGAAGGUCACACCUGGCCGUGUGAGUGCCACAGCUCUGCACCAUGCAUGGGGAAGUUGCUCGGUAUCUAGUGAAUCCAAGUAAUUGCAAAGCCACCUCACAUUCAUUGCUCUUGCUGGCCACCUGAGUGCUUUUGUGUAUCCAUGCUCUGCACUGAAGAUAAAUUAUGAAAUGUCCCAACACAACGAUGGGUUGUAAAUUAGGACUUAUUAUGUCAGAACUUGGGACAUCUACUCCCAUCACUGUCACAUCGAAUAGGAGAGAAUUUUGAACAUUAUAAGACAUCAUUGGUCUUCUGUGCCAAGGACUGAUCUAAGCACUAUAUGAGAAACUGAGAAGAGAGAGGCUCAGUAACUUGCCCAAGGUCACACAGGAGUGGAAGUGAGCCUAUGCUACUCAUCACUGUGCUAAUCGUUUCCCCAGGUUUUAAAAGAGAAGAAUAAAAUUCACUGGUGAGGAGAAGAAUAACAGGAGCAAUGCAUUGAGCAGCGACGGCAAUGGGAAAAGGAAUUAUUAAGAUGAUGCUUUAAAGUAUUGGGAGAUUUAAAAAGCUGCCAUGUAGUUUUUUUGUAAGAUAAAGAAAACUCCAUGAAAAAAGUGUAGAUAGGGU